rnacentral:rRNA from 1 species
GUGCCAGCCGCCGCGGUAAUACGUAGGCAGCGAGCGUUGUUCGGAGUUACUGGGCGUAAAGGGUGUGUAGGCGGUUUUCUAAGUUUGGUGUGAAAUCUCCCGGCUCAACCGGGAGGGUGCGCCGAAAACUGGGAGACUAGAGUGCGGGAUGGGAGAGUAGAAUUCCUGGUGUAGCGGUGAAAUGCGUAGAUAUCAGGAGGAAUACCGGUGGUGUAGACGGCUCUCUGGACCGCCACUGACGCUGAGACACGAAAGCGUGGGUAGCAAACAGGAUUAGAUACCCCCGUAGUCC